AACGCGAAGAACCUUACCUGGGCUCGAAAUGUAGUGGACCGCGGUAGAAAUAUCGUUUUCUAGCAAUAGACCGCUAUAUAGGUGCUGCAUGGCUGUCGUCAGCUCGUGUCGUGAGAUGUUGGGUUAAGUCCCGCAACGAGCGCAACCCUUAUCUUCAGUUGCUACCAUUUAGUUGAGCACUCUGACGAAACCGCCUCGGAUAACGGGGAGGAAGGUGGGGAUGACGUCAAGUCCUCAUGGCCUUUAUGUCCAGGGCUACACACGUGCUACAAUGGCCGGUACAAACCGCUGCAAACCCGUGAGGGGGAGCUAAUCGGAAAAAGCCGGCCUCAGUUCGGAUUGGAGUCUGCAACUCGACUCCAUGAAGCUGGAAUCGCUAGUAAUCGUGGAUCAGCAUGCCACGGUGAAUACGUUCCCGGGUCUUGUACACACCG
rnacentral:rRNA from 1 species